ACAUGCCUACAACAUAGUGUUAAUGCACCAUAUCCCAUUAGAACUCUGCAACUAAGUGCACUCUAUAUAGGGUAGUAUUGGGAUGGGUGACCUCCUGGGAAGUCCUAGUGUUUUACAUGCC
rfam:Picea glauca, whole genome shotgun sequence.